rnacentral:rRNA from 1 species
GACGAACGCUGGCGGCGUGCCUAAUACAUGCAAGUUGAGCGAUGAAGAUUGGUGCUUGCACCAAUUUGAAGAGCAGCGAACGGGUGAGUAACGCGUGGGGAAUCUGCCUUUGAGCGGGGGACAACAUUUGGAAACGAAUGCUAAUACCGCAUAAUAACUUUAAACAUAAGUUUUAAGUUUGAAAGAUGCAAUUGCAUCACUCAAAGAUGAUCCCGCGUUGUAUUAGCUAGUUGGCGAGGUAAAGGCUCACCAAGGCGAUGAUACAUAGCCGACCUGAGAGGGUGAUCGGCCACAUUGGGACUGAGACACGGCCCAAACUCCUACGGGAGGCAGCAGUAGGGAAUCUUCGGCAAUAGACGAAAGUCUGACCGAGCAACGCCGCGUGAGUGAAGAAGGUUUUCGGAUCGUAAAACUCUGUUGGUAGAGAAGAACGUUGGUGAGAGUGGAAAGCUCAUCAAGUGACGGUAACUACCCAGAAAGGGACGGCUAACUACGUG